UAAUUUGUGAACUAUAUUGAUUUUUCUCCUUAAUGUGGGAAACAUGCGUUGAAGAAGGUGAAUAUGUACACGGUGCACACUAAAUAACAAACAGUUUGUAAGAAGUCAUUAGCAAAUGUUCCUCGUCAGUGACUGCUAGCCUACGGAGCCUACUUGUCUGCCGGGUACGUAGGAAUAUAUAAUGAAUAACCCGGAUAUGUAAAAUCGUUUUUGUCUUAGGCGUCUGGGCUAUUGAUUCGUCCACCCCUGAUGCGAUAUGGAUAAUCUUGCGUUAAUGGUUCUUAGAUAUGGAACAGGUUCUAAAAUUACCCUCCAGUCUCUCUUGCCUUAGCGUCACUUCCCCGAUUGUUUGCUUUCAGUCUGGAGUUGGAAACACUUUCUCAUCCAAUGACCUGCUCCUUUUGCUCUUAGUAAGGCUCAUACCUCUGUGAUGUUUCAGACCUUUCUGCUGUGGAAAUACUAUUAUUGUCUUCAUAAUAACAUGUGGGUGAUGAUCGACCCAUACUCCUCAAUAAUGGUGUGAUACACGUUGGCUGCAGCAUCUCUGAAAACGCUCCAGUCGGUCAGAUCGGACUUUAUUCUUUACAAAGGCGUUAAACCCGGAGGCGUCAACAUCGCUAACAAGAAAAUCGUAGCAGGCGAAAAGAAUAAACAGGACGUCAUUGCAAUAAAUCUAGUUACGUAGGUGUUAAAAGCUUUUAGGUAUGUAAAGUACUUUGUGUGUGAAAUGCCUGAUAAUUCAAUCAAACAAGCAGUCUUGUUUGUUUUUUGUUUUUUUAAUUGGCUCACAAGAUGCAAGGCCAUGAAUUCACCAAUCAAAAUUCACCUAGACACAAUGUCAGAACAGAGAGAGAACGCGCGCCUGUCCCGUCCUUUCCCCUUCAGUGAACUGGCUUUUCCACCUGGUGGAUGUGAUUUGCAUUUGAUUUCUUCUGAAACAACAGCAUACUAUUUUUUUUCCUUCUUUUUGUCCCAAUCAUGUACAACAGUAUAAUAGUAUCCACUAGACCAUUACAGUUUCCCUUAAAAGCAAUACAAUUCCCGUUAUAACCAUUACAAAUUCUAUAACGGUUUUUAUUGGGGUUUUUGUUGUUGUUGAGUUUUUUAAGCUGUAUUAUCUAUUCCAGCGACUGAUUUUGACGUGUGUGUAUUGCUCUAUUGCUACGAAAUGUAUCAAGAAAAAAGGACACAUCUAAGGAAUGUUCCGCUAUCUGGACUUCAUUUUAUAUGUAGUACCUUCACACACUACAGUACAGAGAUAUACCACCGUCACUGGAUUUGGUUUCCACUGUGUAUAAAUAAAUGGCUCUUACGUGAUUACCUCCUCUGUUGUGCCUUUCAUUCAGCCGGUAAAAAUAGAAUGAAAAGACUUUCUCACUGUGUAAAUGGGGAAUUCAAUAUCUACAUUUAAAAGCUUAAAUGUCUGGUGAGGUAGGUUUUUUUUAAAAAUAUAUCUUAGCAAAACAAAAAAAACAAAAAAAACCCACACAAGCUCCAAACUGCUCAGCUGGACUCGCCACAUGAAAGUGUCUGAUCAUUUAGCACCGUGGCUCAUUGUGUUUUUGAGGGAAACAAAGGGCUUAAAAUACGACAAACGCUGAACAUGUGAAACACACAGCCAGGCUGUAAGCGUAAUAAGAUCUGUUCGCUGUCUUUCUUCAUAUCUUUGAGCAACACGUCGUCCUAUGGAGGAUGUAUUUCAGAAUGAGUUUGCAUGAGCAUUUAUGUGUAUUUAUUUGGUGUAUUAUUUGACUUAUCUCUACACAGCAGCUGCUGGAGUAUUAGACCAUGAGGCAGGACCACAGAGGACCAGUGAUGACACUUCUGGGUCCUGAACUCACAGUGGUCAGCUGCCUGUUUGUCUUUGUCCAGCAGUGCGCGGACUCGCUUGUGGAUGCUGGCUGAGGAACAAGACGCAGAAGGAAUUCUUGAUCUGGCACUGGUGGAGCAGUUCAUCACAUGCCUCCCAACCGGGCCUCUACGGGAUCAGUGUUCCAUCAAGCUGCCUGCACUGGGUCAGGAGGACACGGGGAGUGGGGAGUGGGGAGUGGGGAGGGAUUUUCCUUUGGAGCAGUUGCGUGUAGAGACCCUGUGACACCCUGAUGUUCGCAGGUGGUAUGCGGCAUGUCGUAAAUGCCAGCCAGCCCAAAAACACCACUGUACCAUCUUCCAUUUGAAAGGAUGGACCUCGUCAGACACCCACACAGAGCGACCGAGAGAGAGAGAGAGAGAGAGACACACACAAAGAGUGAGACAGAGAGAGAGAGACACAGAAAGAGAGAGACGCACACAAAGAGCGAGACAGAGAGAGAGAGGCAUACACAAAGAGAAACAGAGAGAGACACAGCGAGAGACACACACACAAAGAGUCAGACUGAGUGAGAGACACAGAGAGAGACACACACACAAACACAAAGAGUGAGACUGCGAGAGAGAGGCACACACACAAAGAGUGAGACUGAGAGAGAGACAGAGAGAGACACACACACAAACACAAAGAGUGAGACUGCGAGAGAGAGGCACACACACAAAGAGUGAGACUGAGAGAGAGACAGAGAGAGACACACACACACAAACACAAAGAAGUGAGACUGCGAGAGAGAGGCACACACACAAAGAGUGAGACUGAGAGAGAGACAGAGAGAGACACACACACACAAACACAAAGAGUGAGACCGCGAGAGAGAGGCACACACACAAAGAGUGAGACUGAGAGAGAGACACAGAGAGAGACACACACACACAAACACAAAGAGUGAGACCGCGAGAGAGAGGCACACACACAAAGAGUGAGACUGAGAGAGAGACACAGAGAGAGACACACACACACACACAUAGAGAGAGACUGAGACAGAGAGAGAGAGACAGAGAGUUAAUCACGAAUGGUUCUUAUAAUCUCUUGUCUAUAUGAAGCCGUUAUCGAGUCUUCUCCGGACGCAGUGCGGAGCGCUGCGUGUGUAAACUCGUGUCCAACCGCAGCUGUUGGUCUCGUAACUCAUUAGCGCAGCUUCUAAACGAGCUGUUAUACAUGGUCUCAGAGUUCUGAGCACGCGCCUGUGUUGGAGAAGGUAAUUAACUGCGUUUUACCCGUGCGUGUAAGACUAGCACCAGGAGCGACAGUGACGAUGUGAUGAUCUCUGGCUCUGUGAGGAGGCGUGAUGACUCAGCUGUUCACGCUCUGUGUGUGUGUGUGUGCUGUGAGUGCUGUGUGAAGGUUAACCACGAAGACCAAGCGCUGCAGGGAUUCUGAAUCCGCCGCAGGUUUCCCAGGUUUCCGAUGCGGCUGCUGAACGCGGCAGGGGGUCGUGCUGGAGUUUCUGCUGGACUCGGAGCGGUGUCAGGGUUACCAAGCGCUCUCUUUCUUCACAGUCUGCGUCGUUUCUUUGUUUUUGUCUUGUUUUCUCUUCGGCUCUGACCUAGUAAAGAUUUGUGUGUGUAAAAAAAAAAAAAAAAAAAAAAAAACGUGAAAAUUUCAUAAUAAAAGUACAUGUUUAUUUAGUAACAGGGUUUCUGAACAAUUGCAGGUGCAAAGUUUCCGGGGGUAACUGUUAGUCUGUAGUCUGUAGUUGUUGUUUAUUUGUUAUAUAUAUAUAUAUAUAUGUAUAUAUAUGUAUUGUUAAUCAGUCCCUCCAGGAUGUAGCGAUUUUUGCGAUCGCCGAAAUGAACACAAAAUCAAGCGAAUGCAACAACACGCUUGCGAUUUCUCAAAAUUUCCGUGGACUUUCCGCAGAUUCGGGCCAAAAUGCGCCAUGUGACGUCAUCACAACACGCGUUCAUCCCAAGCCCUUUUCGGAAUACAGCUAAACAAGAAUACAGCUAAAAGCUCUCGUUUACCGACGAGCAUCGAGGGGUUUUAAAUUAAAUUUUAAAUUUUAAAAUUUUUCUCCGAAAAGCGCAACAAAAUCGGACGUUUCUUUCGGCCGCAAGGAUCAGAGAGGAACAAUUUCCUAGGACUGCUCCUAAUAGGAAGCACCGUGUUUUUGCAAACAUUAAAUGUAACUGCAAACGGAUAAAAAGUCGUACUCGUUGACAAAUGGCGGCGGUGUUAUAAGACGAAUAACACACUACACGACAUGCUUUUAUUGGAAAUAAUCAACUUCAGGGUGUUAACAAUGACACAACUUCAUCCGUGAUUAUUUUCCUAUAACAGCACAACCCCAAGCACGUUGCUCGUAACUGAGGUGAAUUCCAAUCGUACUGUAAGGAGAUAUUGAUAAAUGUGUGUGUGUGUGUGGGUGUGUGGAGUGUUAGGUUUUUGUCGCACAAGUUUUUAUCGGUAUUUUUGAUUCAGAUGAAUUUCCUCGACGAAGCCGUAGUGCUGACCGAAAGCAUUCGGGUUACGCGCUGCUGUUGUCAGCGGCGUGAAAGAGAUUAAUCACGGCGCUUUGUUUCUUUUCGUUAUCCCAGUCAGCGAACCGACUCGCGCUGACGUGGCCGUGUCUGAUUGCUCGGACGCGUCCAGAGGACCUGACGCUGCGUUUUUGGGCUUCCGUUAUUACGCGGUCGCAGAAGUAAGACGACUAAAAGAAUGGAGCGCUUCCUGUCGAACGCAUUUGUAAAUAUUAUAUUUGACAACAUUUGACACCAAUAAAAUACAAAUGUAAAAAAAAAAAAAAAAAAAAACAUAAUUAUUUCUCUCUCAUUCUUUGUUCUGUCUUUGAACCAGAAAGGAAAAUAUAUAUAUAAAUAAAUAAAUAGUAUACACACACACACACACACACACACACAUCCACCUGUCUUUCUCUUUUCCUUCCUCGCUAUUUCACACCUUUGGAAGUGCAGGGAUUAUUUAUAGUAUCCUUUAAAUGCGCCACCUGAAGUCAACGAGAGUGAAAUUCCCAAUCCGGUACUACAGUGAGAAUGAAAGAGUGCACACGUAGCUGUCCUGCUAGAACACACCACACUAAAGGCUUUAACGGCGUAUUUACACCCUGUGUUCAAUCUCACGAUCUCAUUACGUCCUCCGGUGUUUCCGAUCUCAGGACAUUUUUAUCGGUACCCCCACACACACACACACACACAAGGCGUGGCCGAACACGAAUACAGAGCGAUCCACGCUCGUUAUAUCGUGUUUCCUGGAGACAAUGUGCAAAUGUAUGAGACUUUUCAUUGACGAUUAUUUCGAUACUUUGUAAAUCCCUCUCACAAACGCAUGACAGCUUGUUUAUGGUGAUUAGGCGUCUAUGCUUAGCGUUGUUAUGACUUCGUUCACAUUAGAAGUUUUACGUAUACACACACACACACACACACACACACACACACACACACAAAAAAAAAAAAGCCUCCUUCAUAUGUUCUUUGUGUUCGGGUAUACUUUUCGGGAAUUUAGGCAGGACCCAACAGCAGAGGGUUUUCCUGACAGAUCCAGUGGACUGUUAUUUUGGAUGAGUGUGUGUAUUAAAGGGGUAAGUGUGUGUCCCUACACUGUGUCCCUACACUGUGUCCCUACAUUGUGUCCCUACACUGUGUCCCUUCACUGUGUCCCUACACUGUGUCCCUUCACUGUGUCCCUUCACUGUGUCCCUACACUGUGUCCCUUCACUGUGUCCCUUCACUGUGUCCCUUCACUGUGUCCCUACACUGUGUCCCU
ensembl:lncRNA